GAUGAAGAACGUAGCGAAUUGCGAUAAGUAAUGUGAAUUGCAGAAUUCAGUGAAUCAUCAAAUCUUUGAACGCAUAUUGCGCUUCCCGGUAUUCCGGGAAGCAUGCCUGUUUGAGAAUCGAUAAAUACAUCAUCUUUGUUUGUUUGUUCUUCGGAAUAUUCGAACAAGAUGGACUUGAGACAUUGGUGUUUCCAUGUCAUUAAAUCAAUCAAAGGUCCUAUUGCAUCGAUGAAGCUAGAUGGAGUGUAUUAAAGGUUUUAACUUACAAUCGCUUUGGACAGCUUUACUUGGUGUGAUUUGGAUCUGGGCCCUUUCGUUUGGAUGGUAUCUUUGAUAUCGGACAAACACUUGGUCUCAAAUCAGGUAGGAAAACCCGCUGAACUUAAGCAUAUCAAUAAGCGGAGGA
rnacentral:misc_RNA from 1 species